CCAUCGAGUCUUUCAACGCAAGUUGCGCCCCAUUCCAUUAGGGGCAGGCCACCCCGGCCUGGGCGUCUCAUGUCCUUCCCCUCCUCUCCUCUGCCUCGCGCAAACGUCGGAAGACGUUCGGGGAACGGAGUGGGUGGAAGUUGGCUUCCCACGAGCAGCAUCGUCUUGUGGUUGGCUGAAAAUCGAGGUCGCGGUCGAGCGCGUCACGACAACGUGGUGGGACGAGCGCUUGCUCGAGGCCAGUCGUGCGUGUCUCGGCCCGUGGUCGACUCGCGACCCAUAAACAGGUCCACGGACGUCUCGUAGGGAGACCACAGGUCAGGCGGGGCCACCCCCUGAGUUUAAGCAUAUCAAUAAGCGGAGGAAAAGAAACUAACGAGGAUUCCCCUAGUAACGGCGAGCGAACCGGGAAGAGCCC
rnacentral:rRNA from 1 species